UACGUAGGGUGCAAGCGUUAAUCGGAAUUACUGGGCGUAAAGCGUGCGUAGGCGGUUUUGUAAGUCUGUCGUGAAAUCCCCGGGCUUAACCUGGGAAUGGCGAUGGAGACUGCAAGGCUAGAGUUUGGCAGAGGGGGGUAGAAUUCCACGUGUAGCAGUGAAAUGCGUAGAUAUGUGGAGGAACACCGAUGGCGAAGGCAGCCCCCUGGGUCAAAACUGACGCUCAUGCACGAAAGCGUGGGGAGCAAACAGG
rnacentral:rRNA from 1 species